GCCUGGGUAGCUCAGUGGUAGAGCUUUUGACUAGAGUUGCAGGGGUCCAGGGUUCAAGUCCCAGUCCAGCUU
rfam:Crassostrea gigas strain 05x7-T-G4-1.051#20 contig16818, whole genome shotgun sequence.